AACGAACGCUGGCGGCAUGCCUAACACAUGCAAGUCGAACGAGACCUUCGGGUCUAGUGGCGCACGGGUGCGUAACGCGUGGGAACCUGCCCUUAGGUUCGGAAUAACUCCCCGAAAGGGGUGCUAAUACCGGAUAAUGUCUUCGGACCAAAGAUUUAUCGCCUUUGGAUGGGCCCGCGUUGGAUUAGCUAGUUGGUAGGGUAAAAGCCUACCAAGGCGACGAUCCAUAGCUGGUCUGAGAGGAUGAUCAGCCACACUGGGACUGAGACACGGCCCAGACUCCUACGGGAGGCAGCAGUGGGGAAUAUUGGACAAUGGGCGAAAGCCUGAUGCAGCAAUGCCGCGUGAGUGAUGAAGGCCUUAGGGUUGUAAAGCUCUUUUAUCCGGGAUGAUAAUGACAGUACCGGGAGAAUAAGCUCCGGCUAACUCCGUG
rnacentral:rRNA from 1 species